rnacentral:rRNA from 1 species
UGGGGAAUAUUGCACAAUGGGCGCAAGCCUGAUGCAGCCAUGCCGCGUGUGUGAAGAAGGCCUUCGGGUUGUAAAGCACUUUCAGCGAGGAGGAAGGCAGUCGUGUUAAUAGCACGAUUGAUUGACGUUACUCGCAGAAGAAGCACUGGCUAACUCCGUGCCAGCAGCCGCGGUAAUACGGAGGGUGCAAGCGUUAAUCGGAAUUACUGGGCGUAAAGCGCACGCAGGCGGUUUGUUAAGUCAGAUGUGGAAUCCCCGCGCUUAACGUGGGAACUGCAUUUGAAACUGGCAAGCUAGAGUCUUGUAGAGGGGGGUAGAAUUCCAGGUGUAGCGGUGAAAUGCGUAGAGAUCUGGAGGAAUACCGGUGGCGAAGGCGGCCCCCUGGACAAAGACUGACGCUCAGGUGCGAAAGCGUGGGGAGCAAACA